AGCGAACGCUGGCGGCAGGCCUAACACAUGCAAGUCGAACGAAGUCUUCGGACUUAGUGGCGGACGGGUGAGUAACACGUGGGAACGUGCCUUUAGGUUCGGAAUAACUCAGGGAAACUUGUGCUAAUACCGAAUGUGCCCUUCGGGGGAAAGAUUUAUCGCCUUUAGAGCGGCCCGAGUCUGAUUAGCUAGUUGGUAAGGUAAUGGCUCACCAAGGCUACGAUCAGUAGCUGGUCUGAGAGGAUGACCAGCCACAUUGGGCAUGAGACACGGCCCAAACUCCUACGGGAGGCAGCAGUGGGGAAUCUUGCGCAAUGGGCGAAAGCCUGACGCAGCCAUGCCGCGUGGAUGAUGAAGGUCUUAGGAUUGUAAAAUCCUUUCACCGGUGAAGAUAAUGACUGUAGCCGGAGAAGAAGCCCCGGCUAACUUCGUGCCAGCCGCCGCCGUAAUAC
rnacentral:rRNA from 1 species